AUGGCGAUGAUGAGACGCGCAGGGGUACGGACCUCAGCUGAUAAUGGGAGCUGAGUGUUGGUGCUGUAUCUCAGCCCAGAGGGCAUGUGGUCCACUGGCUGGGGGUGCCGACACGAUAAAGACGCCCGACUGAGCCUU